rnacentral:lncRNA from 1 species
AGCUCAGAGAUGGGCUGGGAUUUGGACGGAACUGCAGGAAUAUUGAUCAUAAAUCAAGGCUAACAACAAAUUAGCUUUGGAAAAAUAUGAACUCAAAAGUAUACUCUAUUUAAAUCCUAAAAAAGAAUCAGAUACCCUGAUCCUGAAGAUUUCUGGACCUAGAUAAGUAGGAAUGAAAAGAAACAGGGCUGGUCAAACAAACCAGAAAAAAAGUAUGUGCCUUGGGCAAACUGAACUUGAUGGAGGUCAGGUGCAAAAGAAGUAUAGAUGUGGGCCUAGGCCUAUCCCUGACCCUUGAAGAGGCCUGGGCCUAAUGAAGAAGUUAUGUGGGCCUGGGCCUAUUCCCAAACCUUGAAGAGGCCCGGGCCUAAUGAAGAAGCGAUAUGGGCCUGGGCCUAUCCUUGACCCUUGAAGAGGCCCGGGCCAAAAGCAAGAAGUGAUGUGGGCCUGGGCCUAUCCCCAACCCUUGAAGAGGCCUGGGCCUAAUGAAGAAGUGAUGUGGGCCUGGUCCUAUCCCUAACCCUUGAAGAGGCCUGGGCCUAAUAAAGAAGUGAUGUGGGCCUGGGCCUAUCUCUGAACCUUGAAGAGGCCCGGGCCUAAUGAAGAAGCAAUAUGGGCCUGGGCCUAUCCUUGACCCUUGAAGAGGCCCGGGCCAAAAGCAAGAAGUGAUGUGGGCCUGGGCCUAUCCCCAACCCUUGAAGAGGCCUGGGCCUAAUUAAGAAGUGAUGUGGGCCUGGGCCUAUCCCCAACCCUUGAAGAGGCCUGGGCCUAAUUAAGAAUUGAUGUGGGCCUGGGCCUAUCCCCAACCCUUGAAGAGGCCCGGGCCACAAACAAGAAGUGAUGUGGGCCUGGGCCUUUCCCUGUCCCUUGAAGAAGCCCGGGCCUGAUGCAAGAAGUGAUAUGGGCUUGGGCCUAUCCCUGUCCCUUGAAGAGGCCUGGGCCUAAUGAAGUAUUUUGGGCCUGGGCCUAUCCCCAACCCUUGAAGAGGCCUAGGCCUAAUGAAGAAGUGAUGUGGGCCUGGUCCUAUCCCUAACCCUUGAAGAGGCCUGGGCCUAA